rnacentral:rRNA from 1 species
GUUGUAUAGUCAAGUAAUUAAGUGCAUGUGGUGGAUGCCUUGGCAGUCAGAGGCGAUGAAAGACGUGAUAGCCUGCGAAAAGCUCCGGGGAGGCGGCAAAUAUCCUUUGAUCCGGAGAUGUCUGAAUGGGGGAACCCACCUACUUUAAGGUAGGUAUUGCAACAUGAAUACAUAGUGUUGCAAGGCGAACGAGGGGAAGUGAAACAUCUCAGUACCCUUAGGAAAAGAAAUCAAUUGAGAUUCCCUCAGUAGCGGCGAGCGAACGGGGAUCAGCCCAUUAAGUUAUGUGUGUUUUAGUGGAACGCUCUGGGAAGUGCGAACGUAGAGGGUGAUAUUCCCGUACACGAAAGGGCACACAUAAUGAUGACGAGUAGGGCGAGGCACGUGAAACCUUGUCUGAAUAUGGGGGGACCAUCCUCCAAGGCUAAAUACUCCUGACUGACCGAUAGUGAACCAGUACCGUGAGGGAAAGGCGAAAAGAACCCCUGUGAGGGGAGUGAAAUAGAUCCUGAAACCGCAUGCAUACAAGCAGUGGGAGCACCUUCGUGGUGUGACUGCGUACCUUUUGUAUAAUGGGUCAGCGACUUAUAUUCAGUAGCAAGGUUAACCGUAUAGGGGAGCCGUAGAGAAAUCGAGUCUUAAUAGGGCGUUUAGUUGCUGGGUAUAGACCCGAAACCAGGCGAUCUAUCCAUGAGCAGGUUGAAGGUUGGGUAACACUAACUGGAGGACCGAACCCACUGUCGUUGAAAAGCCAGGGGAUGACUUGUGGAUAGGGGUGAAAGGCUAAUCAAGCCUGGUGAUAGCUGGUUCUCCCCGAAAGCUAUUUAGGUAGCGCCUCGGACGAAUACCAUAGGGGGUAGAGCACUGUUUCGGCUAGGGGGUCAUCCCGACUUACCAAACCGAUGCAAACUCCGAAUACCUAUGAGUACUAUCCGGGAGACAGACUGCGGGUGCUAACGUCCGUAGUCAAGAGGAAAACAAUCCAGACCGCCAGCUAAGGCCCCAAAAUCAUAGUUAAGUGGGAAACGAUGUGGGAAGGCAUAGACAGCUAGGAGGUUGGCUUAGAAGCAGCCACCCUUUAAAGAAAGCGUAAUAGCUCACUAGUCGAGUCGGCCUGCGCGGAAGAUGUAACGGGGCUAAAACUAUGUGCCGAAGCUGCGGAUNNAUGCUGGAGGUAUCAGAAGUGCGAAUGCUGACGUGAGUAACGACAAAACGGGUGAAAAACCCGUUCGCCGAAAGACCAAGGGUUCCAGUCCAACGUUAAUCGGGGCUGGGUGAGUCGACCCCUAAGGCGAGGCCGAAAGGCGUAGUCGAUGGGAAAAUGGUUAAUAUUCCAUUACUUCUGUGUAAUGCGAUGAGAGGACGGAGAAGGCUAAAUCAGCCUGGCGUUGGUUGUCCAGGUGAAAGGAUGUAGGCAUGUAUCUUAGGCAAAUCCGGGGUACUCUAUGCUGAGAUCUGAUAGCAAGCUGUACUUGUACAGCGAAGUGGUUGAUGCCAUGCUUCCAGGAAAAGUCUCUAAGCUUCAGUUACACAGGAAUCGUACCCGAAACCGACACAGGUGGUCAGGUCGAGUAGACCAAGGCGCUUGAGAGAACUCUGCUGAAGGAACUAGGCAAAAUGGUACCGUAACUUCGGGAGAAGGUACGCUGUUGUUGGUGAUGGAACUCGCUUCCUGAGCUGACGACAGCCGCAGAAACCAGGCCGCUGCAACUGUUUAUUAAAAACAUAGCACUCUGCAAACACGAAAGUGGACGUAUAGGGUGUGAUGCCUGCCCGGUGCUGGAAGGUUAAUUGAUGGGGUUAGCGUAAGCGAAGCUCUUGAUCGAAGCCCCAGUAAACGGCGGCCGUAACUAUAACGGUCCUAAGGUAGCGAAAUUCCUUGUCGGGUAAGUUCCGACCUGCACGAAUGGCAUAAUGAUGGCGGCGCUGUCUCCAGCAGAGGCUCAGUGAAAUCGAAAUCGCUGUGAAGAUGCAGUGUACCCGCGGCUAGACGGAAAGACCCCGUGAACCUUUACUGCAGCUUGACACUGAACUUUGACCUUACUUGUGUAGGAUAGGUGGGAGGCUUUGAAGCUGGAACGCUAGUUCCAGUGGAGCCGUCCUUGAAAUACCACCCUGGUAAUGUUGAGGUUCUAACUCUGUCCCGUGAUCCGGGACGAGGACCGUGUCUGGUGGGUAGUUUGACUGGGGCGGUCUCCUCCUAAAGAGUAACGGAGGAGUACGAAGGUGCGCUCAGCGUGGUCGGAAAUCACGCGUAGAGUAUAAAGGCAAAAGCGCGCUUAACUGCGAGACCCACAAGUCGAGCAGGUACGAAAGUAGGUCUUAGUGAUCCGGUGGUUCUGUAUGGAAGGGCCAUCGCUCAACGGAUAAAAGGUACUCUGGGGAUAACAGGCUGAUACCGCCCAAGAGUUCAUAUCGACGGCGGUGUUUGGCACCUCGAUGUCGGCUCAUCUCAUCCUGGGGCUGAAGCAGGUCCCAAGGGUAUGGCUGUUCGCCAUUUAAAGAGGUACGCGAGCUGGGUUUAGAACGUCGUGAGACAGUUCGGUCCCUAUCUACCGUGGGCGCUGGAAAUUUGAGAGGAUCUGCUCCUAGUACGAGAGGACCAGAGUGGACGAACCUCUGGUGUACCGGUUGUGACGCCAGUCGCAUCGCCGGGUAGCUAUGUUCGGAAGGGAUAACCGCUGAAAGCAUCUAAGCGGGAAGCCUACCUCAAGAUAAGAUUUCCCUAGGACUUUAUGUCCUCUAAAGAGCCGUUCGAGACUAGGACGUUGAUAGGUUGGAUGUGGAAGCAUAGUGAUAUGUGAAGCUGACCAAUACUAAUUGCUCGUGAGGCUUGACUAUACAACACCCAAGCAGUUG